rnacentral:tRNA from 1 species
UACGGCAUGGGGUACCUGUUCAUCCCCGUGCUGCUGCCGCUGUCGGCCAUCUACUGGCUGCGCAGGGCGCGAACCCCUAAGCCGUAGC